GGCUCCGUAGCUCAGUUGAUUAGAGCGCCGCUCUCAUGAGGCGGAGGUCGGGAGUUUGAGCCUCCCCGGAGCCA
rnacentral:tRNA from 1 species